GAUGAACGCUGGCGGCGUGCCUAAUACAUGCAAGUCGAGCGAACAGACGAGGAGCUUGCUCCUCUGACGUUAGCGGCUGACGGGUGAGUAACACGUGGAUAACCUACCUAUAAGACUGGGAUAACUUCGGGAAACCGGAGCUAAUACCGGAUAAUAUAUUGAACCGCAUGGUUCAAUAGUGAAAGACGGUUUUGCUGUCUCUUAUAGAUGGAUCCGCGCCGCAUUAGCUAGUUGGUAAGGUAACGGCUUACCAAGGCAACGAUGCGUAGCCGACCUGAGAGGGGGAUCGGCCAAACUGGAAGGGAGACACGGUACAGACGACUACGGGAGGAAGCAGUAGGGAAUCUUCCGAAAUGGGCGAAAGCGUGACGGAGCAACGCCGCGUGAGUGAUGAAGGUCUUCGGAUCGUAAAACUCUGUUAUUAGGGAAGAAAAAAUGUGUAAGUAACUAUGCACGUCUUGACGGUAACUAAUCAGAAAGCAACGGCUAACUACGUG
rnacentral:rRNA from 1 species